rnacentral:rRNA from 1 species
UACGUAGGGUGCAAGCGUUGUCCGGAAUUAUUGGGCGUAAAGAGCUCGUAGGCGGUCAGUCGCGUCUGCUGUGAAAACUCGGGGCUUAACCCCGGGCCUGCAGUCGAUACGAGCAAACUAGAGUGUUGCAGGGGGAGACUGGAAUUCCUGGUGUAGCGGUGGAAUGCGCAGAUAUCAGGAGGAACACCGAUGGCGAAGGCAGCUCGCUGGGGACGGUACUGACGCUGGAGGCGCGAAAAGCCGUGGGGGAGCGAACAGGG